UACAGAGGGUGCGAGCGUUGUCCGGAAUCACUGGGCGUAAAGGGCGCGUAGGUGGCGACCCAAGUCGAUGGUGAAAGCUCGCCGCUCAACGGCGAGUCGGCCACUGAUACUGGGUUGCUGGAGCACUGUAGAGGCAGAUGGAAUUCCGGGUGUAGCGGUGGAAUGCGUAGAGAUCCGGAAGAACACCGGUGGCGAAGGCGGUCUGCUGGGCAGUUGCUGACACUGAGGCGCGACAGCGUGGGGAGCAAACAGG
rnacentral:rRNA from 2 species